rnacentral:rRNA from 1 species
GAUGAACGCUGGCGGCGUGCCUAACACAUGCAAGUCGAGCGAUUCUCUUCGGAGAAGAGCGGCGGACGGGUGCGUAACGCGUGGGUAACCUGCCCUGUACACACGGAUAACAUACCGAAAGGUAUGCUAAUACGAGAUAAUAUGCUUUUAUCGCAUGGUAGAAGUAUCAAAGCUUUUGCGGUACAGGAUGGACCCGCGUCUGAUUAGCUAGUUGGUAAGGUAACGGCUUACCAAGGCGACGAUCAGUAGCCGACCUGAGAGGGUGAUCGGCCACAUUGGAACUGAGACACGGUCCAAACUCCUACGGGAGGCAGCAGUGGGGAAUAUUGCACAAUGGGCGAAAGCCUGAUGCAGCAACGCCGCGUGAGCGAUGAAGGCCUUCGGGUCGUAAAGUUCUGUCCUCAAGGAAGAUAAUGACGGUACUUGAGGAGGAAGCCCCGGCUAACUACGUG